rnacentral:rRNA from 1 species
UACAGAGGGGGCAAGCGUUAUUCGGAAUUAUUGGGCGUAAAGGGCGCGUAGGCGGCUUUGCAAGUGGCGGGUGAAAUCCCUCGGCUUAACUGAGGAACUGCCUGCCAGACUGUGAGGCUUGAGACCGGGAGAGGUGAGUGGAAUUCCCAGUGUAGCGGUGAAAUGCGUAGAUAUUGGGAGGAACACCAGUGGCGAAGGCGGACUCACUGGACCGGAACUGGACGCUGAGACGCGAAAGCGUGGGGAAGCGAACGAGG